UGAGUGUGUGUGCAUAUUAGUGUGUUGUGUGAGUGUGUGUAUGUUUUCUUAGUCACAUUUCUAAUGCUCUAAUGAAACAUUGACCAAAACAACUGGGGAGGAAACACUUCCUCAUUACAAUCCAUCACUAAGGGAACUCAGGGUUGGAUCUUGAGGCAGGGACCUGGAGGUAGGAAUUAGUGUAGAGGUCAUAGAGGAACACUGUUUACUGGCUUGGUCUUCAUGGCUUGCUCAGCCUGCUCUCUUAUGCCACCCAGGACCACCUUCCUAGGAGUGGGCUGCCUGCCUAAUAAUCAAGAAAAUGCCUCACAGACAUAACAUAGGCCAAUCUGAGGGAGGCAAUUUCUCAGCGGAGGUUCUCACUUCCCACUAAUUUGUGUUGAGUUGACAAAAACUGACCAGCAUGGUUGGUAUGACCAGACGAUGAAAUAAUAAUGUUCGUUUUUGGACAAAUCCAUCCAAAGGGUCCAUGCAAACUUUAGGGUGGACAUUUCGGGGGUUGAGGGGGAGUGUGGUGGAGAAGAAUCUAUUUUAAAACAUCAGAUUUGAGAGUCAAGUUCUGUGUCUCAGUUGGAGUAAUGGGUGUGCAGAAGUGGAAUGCCCUGAGACAGCUGGUAGCAAAGACUGCAGAGUCCAGGCUUGAGAGGUCAGAGGAAGGACAGGAAAGGGAGUGUGCUGUGGUCUGAUGGCGGCUACUAGGUCUGGCAACCCAUUCCAGGCAAGACUCUGGAUGUAGAAGGGAAAGAUGGACCAACAGAGAUCCAGUGAAACCGGAGGCCAACUGGGGAAUGACCUGAUUGUGUCCAUGUAAGCUCUGCAAGAAGCUGGAGGAGGAGCUGGAGGCUGCCAUGACUACAAGAAAAGACACAGCAUCAAAGUCAGGGUGCCAAGGUUUGUGGAAAUCUGGAACCCAGUGGGUAAGAAUGGCUGACCUCAUAACACUCGAAAUGUAAAUAAGAAAUACUCAAGUUAAUAAAAAAAAAAAAAAAAGAAUGGCUGACCUCGAUCAAAUCACAGAAACCUGGCGAUGCAGGGUUUGUUUGUUUAUUUGUUUUUUGUUUUUUUUUUGUUUUUUUGUUUUUUGUUUUUUUGUCAAGCAUUCAAGGUGUCAGGAUUUGAGACUACAGAAAACAGGUAUAGUCAUUUAUACCCUUCUUGAAGAGCACUGGGAAGAACGCAUUUCCUGAGUGUCAGAGGCUCGCAACUCUUCUGCUUCCUUUUCCAAGGUGAGGGUCGCUCAGCUGAAGCUGCCUGGUGAUGCUGGCUUACCCAUCGGGUUUCAGGGUCUUGUCUAUCUACUUGUCCAGAAAGAGGAUCCUAGAAAUGAGAAUCCUCCUCCGUGCUGUGGAGAUCCUUCUGCGCGGCCGGUAGUGGGCGGAGCCUGCGACAGCACGGAGCUUGGUUUUUGCCAUUUAUGAACGUUUCACGCUUCCUGCCACUUUCAUUCUAAGCUCAGGCUUGUGCCCAUCUGUUUAGAAGACAGAAGGAAAUAAUCCCUUGACCUCCUAAACCGUGACGCGGGCUGACAUCAGGCAUCACAUUCGUGGGAUUUUCACAGGUACCUGAGUAGGAAGAAUGGGUAGCUCAAGUAGCCUGGUUCUCCUUGAACUUUGUGGGAGACCUCAAGAGGAAUUUAAGACCUAUUUUGUAAACUUAAAAAUUAGUAGAAUCAAGGGAGAGAUUUCAGACAUGGUCAUUAGUUUCUGUUUGCAAAAGGAAUUGAUUGGGCCUUGGUUUCACAGCUGAAAGUCAAACAGCGUAUUGAACAAACAAGGCAAACUUCAGCACCUCUGCUUUCCAACAGCAUUCGGCAGUGAGCACACCGAGACGCCCGAUUUUAACUCAUAAUGUCAUUUAUUUAAACCAAAACUAGUUUAUAGUUUCAAGCAGUGGAUUUCAAAGAUUAAAAAAGAAAGGAAGA
rnacentral:sRNA from 1 species